rnacentral:tRNA from 1 species
GGGGAUAUAGCUCAGUUGGUAGAGUGCUUGCCUAGCAUGCAUAAGGCCCUGGGUUCAAUCCCCGGCCCCA